rnacentral:rRNA from 1 species
UACAGAGGGGGCAAGCGUUAUUCGGAAUUAUUGGGCGUAAAGGGCGCGUAGGCGGCCUGGCAAGUGGAAGGUGAAAUCCCUCGGCUUAACCGAGGAACUGCCCUCCAAACUGCUUGGCUUGAGACCGGGAGAGGUGAGUGGAAUUCCCAGUGUAGCGGUGAGAUGCGUAGAUAUUGGGAGGAACACCAGUGGCGAAGGCGGCUCACUGGACCGGUACUGACGCUGAGGCGCGAAAGCGUGGGGAGCAAACGGG